rnacentral:rRNA from 1 species
AAACUCAAAGGAAUUGACGGGGACCCGCACAAGCAGCGGAGCGUGCGGUUUAAUUCGUUGCUACACGAAGAACCUUACCUGGGUUUGACAUAUAGGUUGUAGGGAACUGAAAAGGGACCGACCCUUCGGGGAGCCUAUACAGGUGUUGCAUGGCUGUCGUCAGCUCGUGUCGUGAGAUGUUCGGUUAAGUCCGCUAACGAGCGCAACCCUCGUCGUAUGUUAUAUGUGUCAUACGAGACUGCCGGUAAAAGCCGGAGGAAGGUGAGGAUGAUGUCAAGUCAGCAUGACCUUUAUAUCCAGGGCUACACACACGCUACAAUGGUCUGUACAAUGGGUAGCCAAGCCGCGAGGCGGAGCCAAUCCUGAAAGCAGGCCUCAGUUCAGAUUGCAGUCUGCAACUCGACUGCAUGAAGCCGGAGUUGCUAGUAACCGCAGGUCAGCAAUACUGCGGUGAAUACGUUCCCGGGUCUU